rnacentral:rRNA from 1 species
AGUGAACGCUGGCGAUAGGCCUAACACAUGCAAGUCGAACGGCAGCACAGUAAGAGCUUGCUCUUACGGGUGGCGAGUGGCGGACGGGUGAGGAAUACAUCGGAAUCUACUUUUUCGUGGGGGAUAACGUAGGGAAACUUACGCUAAUACCGCAUACGACCUACGGGUGAAAGCAGGGGAUCUUCGGACCUUGCGCGAUUGAAUGAGCCGAUGUCGGAUUAGCUAGUUGGCGGGGUAAAGGCCCACCAAGGCGACGAUCCGUAGCUGGUCUGAGAGGAUGAUCAGCCACACUGGAACUGAGACACGGUCCAGACUCCUACGGGAGGCAGCAGUGGGGAAUAUUGGACAAUGGGCGCAAGCCUGAUCCAGCCAUACCGCGUGGGUGAAGAAGGCCUGCGGGUUGUAAAGCCCUUUUGUUGGGAAAGAAAAGCAGCAGGUUAAUACCCCGCUGUUCUGACGGUACCCAAAGAAUAAGCACCGGCUAACUUCGU